GCAUGCGUACUGAGCCGUGACGGUGUCAUACCCAAGACGCGCCAGCAGCGCCCCCUUGCGGGCGGAUGAGGGGAGGAUAAGCAGAAGGGACUGGAUUGAUUGUAGGCUUCCAAGUCCAAGGGUUGAAUGAAAAGCAAUUGGAUACAUUUCUGCCAACAAUGAACAAGUUUCUGAAGCUGUCACAGAAGAAGUCGACACUCUGUUUCCGCAACCAGCAUCUCACAGUUCUCUCAACGUCUUCAUCAGAAGCAUAAUGAUGUCCCCGCAGAUCUUCUUUCAUUAUCAGGAAUAGAUGGAAGUCAGACGGUGCUAAAUUUGGACUGGCCUUACGGUGCAGAUCAUAUAAUCUGAAUUGGGACGAGACCACCACUUUAAAUUUUGCCAUUUAUGUAUCACGUUGCUUUAACAGAGACAAGUACUAAUGCAAAGACUGAGAAGUAGGACUGCUGCUGGGAAGAUUAUGAAGAAGCGUCGAGCCCAUGCUGUUUGUAUCUCUUGUUUGUUUGGACUCGGGAGAAUGGCUGGGGUGCAUUAAUGAUCUAAAAUUACAGCCAAAGCUAUAAAUAGGGAAAUCUUGAAUCUAUAAUUGGAAUAAAAGAAGGGUCUCAUAAAUGAAAAAGAAAGAAACAAGGCUGUCGUGCAUUAUGUUAUAGGGAAAAUAUGUAAAAAAUAUUGUACAUUGGCUUCAUGCUAAAUUUAUGAGAUUUAUACUGUGCUGUGAAUUCAUUGAAUAUUAUGCAUGUUAUGAAGUCUAGCUAACCUGAAGUAUCUACAUGAAACAUGCAUAUGUAUGAUUGUGGCAGUUUCCAAAUUUUCCUCACACUCUAAUGCCUUUUUUUGUUUUUAAAACAGAUAAUGACCUAUUCUGUAUAGUUUGUUUGUUCUGCAGUCCACAAGUUGUUAAUUUAUAUUUUGUAUUUCAUUCAAGGUUACUUUUGCAGCCUGAGAUUGUGUUGGAAUACAAACUAUGUAUGCAAUGCUUAUGUACAUCCUUUCUAUUAGUAUUUAUUCAGAAAAUCCUUUGGGUUAAUGGAUUGGGUUUAUAGAAAUAUUAAGGAUGGAUUGAAAUAUGCUUAGGAUAUACCAACAGCACUAAAUUAUAAAGAGUGGUCUAUAAAUCACUUAAAGAGAUAAUUUAUUUUGCAAGUGACUUAAAAUAUUACUUGAUUAUUUGCUGAACUAUAUGAAAGGAAAUGUAAAGACUGUCAGCAUAUAUGUGAUUUUCAGUGCCGUGAAGGAAGCCCCUCUGUUACUGAAAAUGGAUGAAGCAUUUAUAACCUUAUAAAUAUAGAAACAUGUCCAGCCAUUUUCCCAUGUCUGUGUGUCAGAUAAAUGGCAGAGUGGCUUGACCUCAUUGUUUUUCUUAUCCAUUAUCUGUCAAACUAGUACAAUUGGCACAACACAAUUACAUCCUUCUUCCAAUAAGACAUAUAAUUUCGUGCUGAUAACAAAAUAAAUGAAUGCUCUCUUAUUAUCUUAUCUAAAACUACAGGAAAUACUGAUUAAAAUCUCUUUCAUUCCUCAACAGUAAAUUUUCUAUGCAUGAAAUAUUUUGGCAAGUUCCUGUACAAGUAAAAAAUAAAACAAGAACAGAGGAAAUAAUUUAUCAGCUUCUGAUAUUUCAAAUAAGCAGAUAAUAUAGAACAACGGAAAACAGAAUGGAAUAUAACACAAAAUAAAGAACAUUUUCAAAAUUCUGUAUUAAAAGUACUUUACACGCAGCAAAGAACAUAUCUAAUUCUAUUCUGAACAGAAAUUACUUCAUUAUGCUAAAAGCAGUGUUAUAAAAUGGAAUCAGUGAGUGUGCUAUGUUAGUCCAUGCAACAAAACCGGCAAAAAAAAUUGACAUCUUAAAAACUAACACGUACAUUAUGGCAAACCUUUGAGGACUAUAACAUGCAUCUGAUAAAAUGGGCAAUCGUCCAUGAAAGUUUAUAUUGUAUUAAUAAAUGGGUCAGUUUUUAAAGUGGCAUAAAAGUAUUUAUUGUUUGUACUGGAUCUGGUAAUUCCAGGCUGAUUGUUAGAGUCUGUUUAGUGCCUGGAAUUCUUCUUUUUUUGUAUGAGGUUUAAAAUAAGUUAAAUUCCCUGAUUAUGUCCAAUAACACCUCGCCCCAUGUUGGAAAACACAAUAUGUUAAAGUGAAAACAUAUUAAUGGUAUUUGAAAUAACAUUUGUUUGCUUAAAUGAUAUAAGUGAUUAGCCUCUUGUUUGUCUCUAUCCCAGUCACAAAAGUUAUCAUUAUUCUUCUGAUUUUACAAUGUAAUAUCAAAUAUUUAGACUUACAGCAAAACUUCAUGUCUACUUGGAAGUCUAACCUGCAGUUCAGUGACACUUAAGUGUUUGUAAAAUCUGCAUUUAUUUCAUUGUAGGAGACCAAGGUUUGAACUCCUCUUUGACCUUGAAGCCUUGGGCAAGUCACAGUUUCUUGGCCUCAGAGGAAGGCAGAAGCAACCCUCAUCUGAACAAGCCUUUGCAGGGUAUGUUUACCUCAGGGUCACCAUAGAUCAGAAAUGAUUUGGAGGAAAACAACAAGAAGGAUGUUUCAAAUCAGGUGUAUGUGUGUAUGCACGCUAAUAUAGAUGUAGAAAGUAUGUAGGGAAUUUGCUGUGCUAAAAAUACUAUCAAGGAGAAUGCCCUGUAGAAAUAUUUAAAGAUAUUUUAAGGUGCUUCUUUGCCUUGUCAUCAAAUUUUGGGAUUUGAAGAAAGUAAUUUCUGUUUAAAAUAAAGAACUACAUUGUUCACAAAAA